ACAGAACUCUGCCACACUUGAGGGUAUUCAGAUGUGACACUCAAAACUAUUCUGCUGUGAAGGUGACAUUGCAGAGAUUAUGUGUGAGAAAGCCACAAGCCACUUGCUGCAAUACCAGGUGGAGGAGGACUAAAUGGGAGAGUCUUUGGCUCAGCCUGCUAAGCUGCCCCGCCACCACACACAGCUCUGUCUUCAGAGAGGGGCCAAUGCUCCAGAUCCCCCCACUCUCAGGCUCCUGGAGGCACCAUCUUCAGGCCUAACUUUAGCUGCAGAUGGAGCAUGGAAAUGCAGAUGGCCUGCAGUCACUGGCCAGAGUGUGGUGGGCCAGGCUUGAGUCUGCUCCAUCCUAAGGAUUGUGGGGAUGGAGACAGUGUGCAUUUGGGCCCCCUGGACAGCAAGACAAAGAAUAGCACAGAUGGCUUGUCAACAGUUUAAAGGAAAAAUGCCUGGUAUUAGAGACUGAAUCCAGGCCAAGAGAGUGCUCUUACUGAGCUGCACCCCAGCUCUUGACAACACAGUUAACACCACCCCACUGUUUCCAGGAGGAAGGACUUUGUCAAAGCACACUUACUCAGAGUCUGCGUCAUUUGUCAUUACAGGUUAGAUGUGAAGAAUCCCCCAAAAGCUCUUAAGUGAGGCAAGCAAGAAUUUCCAGAGGUGAAAUGAUUAGAUUUUAGGGUGAACCAAUCGGCAGAUUAAUCCACUGAUAAGGAUUAACUGGGUGGCAGCUGUACGCAGGUAGGGUGUGGUCAUCCCUGACAGUCCCCCGCAAAGCCCACCAAAGUAAGUCCCACCAAAGUCCACUCCCACAUCCUGACUGUAAGAGACUAGAGCACAGAGCAGCUAUUUAACAAAGAUUAAUAUGCCAACUAGUUCUGUGCCUGCAAACACUUACCAACUUUUUAUACAGCUGGAAAUAGUUCUGAAAACAUAAAACCCCUCAUGGUCACUGCAUACAGAAACAGUGCAACCUCAAUGCCUAAAGAAGUUAAGGCAGAAAAGGUGGCCAGGGCAUUGUUAGACUGCAGCACUGCAGUCAGCAGACCUCAAAUAAAGGGUGGGACAAUCAUGGUGGCAUAGUCCUAGCUACUUGGGAGGCAGAGGUAGGAUGGAGAGUUCCAGGCCAGCCUGGCCAAUUUAGUGGGAACCUAUCUUAAAAAAAAAAAAAAAGCCUGGGGAUGUGCCCCAGUGGUAGAGCACCCCUGGGUUCAAUCCUAGUACAGAAAGGAAAGGAACGAAAAAGACGAGAGAGACUGGGGAGCAAGGUAUGUCACGCAUGAGGCUGGGAAGGCUGAGGCAGGAGGAUGGAAAGUUCAAAGCCAGCCUUAGCAAUGGGAGGCACUUAGCAACUCAGUGAGACCUUGUCUCUACAUAAAAUAC
rnacentral:lncRNA from 1 species